CCUUUCNUUCGGGANAAGAGUGACAGGUGGUGCUUGGUUGUCGUCAGCNCGUNNUCGUGAGAUGUUGGGUUAAGUCCCGCAACGAGCGCAACCCUUAUUNUUAGUAGCCAGCAUUUUAAGAUGGGCAAUCUAGAGAGACUGCCAGGGAUAACCUGGAGGAAGGUGGGGAUGACGUCAAAUCAUCAUGCCCCUUAUGACCAGGGCUACAUACGU
rnacentral:rRNA from 1 species